GUCCACGCCCUAAACGAUGGCGACUAGUUGUUGGGGUAGCAGUACCUUAGUAACGCAGCUAACGCGUGAAGUUGCCCGCCUGGGGAGUACGGUCGCAAGAUUAAAACUCAAAGGAAUUGACGGGGGCCCGCACAAGCGGUGGAUGAUGUGGUUUAAUUCGAUGCAACGCGAAAAACCUUACCUACCCUUGACAUGCCAGGAACGCCGCAGAGAUGUGGCGGUGCCCGAAAGGGAGCCUGGACACAGGUGCUGCAUGGCUGUCGU
rnacentral:rRNA from 1 species